UACGGGGGGAGCAAGCGUUGUUCGGAAUUACUGGGCGUAAAGGGUUUGUAGGUGGCUCGCUAAGUCACACGUGAAAUCCCUCAGCUUAACUGGGGAACUGCGUGUGAAACUGGCAAGCUUGAGGACAGGAGAGGAACGCGGAAUUCCAGGUGUAGCGGUGAAAUGCGUAGAUAUCUGGAGGAACACCGGUGGCGAAGGCGGCGUUCUGGACUGUUUCUGACACUGAUAAACGAAAGCCAGGGGAGCAAACGGG
rnacentral:rRNA from 1 species